rnacentral:rRNA from 1 species
GACGAACGCUGGCGGCGUGCUUAACACAUGCAAGUCGAACGGAAAGGCCCUGCUUUUGUGGGGUGCUCGGGUGGCGAACGGGGGAGUAACACGUAAGUAACCUGCCCUUGACUUUGGGAUAACUUCAGGAAACUGGGGCUAAUAACGGAUAGGAGCUCCUGCUGCAUGGUGGGGGUUGGAAAGUUUCGGCGGUUGGGGAUGGACUCGCGGCUUAUCAGCUUGUUGGUGGGGUAGUGGCUUACCAAGGCUUUGACGGGUAGCCGGCCUGAGAGGGUGACCGGCCACAUUGGGACUGAGAUAGGGCCCAGACUCCUAUGGGAGGCAGCGGUGGGGAGUAUUGCACAAUGGGAGGAAGCCUGAUGCAGCAACGCCGCGUGCGGGAUGACGGCCUUCGGGUUGUAAACCGCUUUCGCCUGUGACGAAGCGUGAGUGACGGUAAUGGGUAAAGAAGCACCGGCUAACUACGUG